UUUAAAAUACUGUCACAUUUUUAUUGUUUCAUUUACAAAAAGUUUCAUUUUCUACAGUUUAUUGGAGUGUGAGCCUGAGUCACCGGCUCAGAUACAUUCAUACAGCGACGACACACACACACACACACACACACACACACACACACACACACACACACACACACACACACAGGUCAUUUCCUGUCAGUCUCCAGGCAGACGGAGCAGGUGGAGGUUCUCUUUAUAAAGCACCACAGUAAAACCAGGAACCUCCAUCAGUCGCCUCUACUGAAGGAAGGACCGGAACCAGGAAGAGGCUUUUAUUUUGUUAGAUGUCACUUCCUCCUUCCUGUUCAUAUAUGUAUGUACACGUGUAUUUAUACAUGUUAAACUGCUCCUCCUACAGUCACGCCGAUGAAGAUCAGUCGCUUCUCUUCCUGUUUAGAGACUCACAGCUCGCUCCUCCCACAGGUGGAGCAGAUGGCGUAGGUGGAGCUGACCGCCUCUGUCGGCCCAUGCCACAGGAAGUGAACGGUGCUCAUGACUUUCAGUGAGUGUAGGACUCCAGCUGCAGCUCCAGAUGUUGUAACAUUUGGAACCGUGCAUUCUGGGUCGGCUGUUUUACUUCAGCGUAAAGUGGCAGCAGAGCUGUUAGCCAAUCAGAUCACAGCUGACACGGCGAGGCGGUUUGCUGUGCAGGUCAACAGCCUGAUAACGCACAGCUAGCUUUCCUAAUCCUAACUGCCAUGUAAAGCAGGGCUAGCUUACCCUGAGUACGGGUCACUGUUGCCAUGACGAUCACCCCCUCCCCCCCCCCAGAAAAAAAAAUCAGACGUUUAAGUAAUGCGCCCGUCGAUUGGCAGCAAAGUCGACAGAGGGGGCGGGUCCCAAGACCAGUGACAGUACCUCGCUCGUUCACGGCGUGUCUGAUCGAUUCGUUAGCAGCUCUGCUCUUUUCCCGCCUUAGUCAUGUUUAAACGAAGAUUCGCUGGGAUCACAGCUCUGCUCGCCGUCACAGUCAGCACAGCGAGCGUUCAGUCCUACACUCACAGGGCUGUCCUGAGGAUAAACACCCAGAACUCCUUUCUGCUCGUCACUAUUUAAAAACUUCGAUGGCAGAGACAGAGGACUGUGAGGGAACUCGUGUCUCUGACCUCGGCCGUUUCUUUGGCACAGGCCAAAAUACCAAAAAGGAGGCGGCCAUCUUCACACACCUGCUCAGGACAAGCUGGAGGAAGGAGUCACGUGACUCGCUCUCUUUAGCAUCGAGCUCCAAGGACUCGGAGACCAGAACCUCCCUCACAGCUCUGAGGGAGGUGUUAGCCAGGUCAGUGCUAGCAGCACAAGCUAACUCUGAUGAAAUAACCUGGCCAGGUGUUUCCGUGUGCAGUCAUGUACUGUAGAGUCAGAUCAGCUGGCCGAGGCCCUGAACAGCCGGUGAUGUCAGCAGACGACAGGAAGUUCAGGGUUUUGGGGCAUUUUUGGAAGCGUUGAUGCGCCGUCCUGCCUCACAGGAACUUGCAUCGGUUCUCAUGGAGGCGGCAGCUGCUGGGGAACAGCUGGAGAUCCAAACUACCCGGCCCGACGGGUCGAACGAGCGUCCUAAAUUAUUUACAGAGAUGAAUUCUCAGGACAGAAAAAUAAAAGAAUGAAAGCACCGUGCAGCAGCUGAGUCGCUAACCAUGCUGAGCACAAACAAGCGGGCGCAGCACAGCGUUUCCACCUGUGAGACUUUAAUGAGGUAACCAGUUCCUGAAACACCUGGAGUCAGUGACUGAGGCGGGGUUAGCCCUGAAGGAGGUCAGACUGCAGGUGGAGCGCUGCCUGAAGUACUACACCUUACUUUAGAGUCACUGAAUCGAUCACAAUAACAGAUCCCGAGGAGGCGUUAAACCAUGUGACCUGUUACAGCAAGGAGAGAACAGCGAGUGGACGAAGAGUCAGGAAGGAAACAGAAAGGAGGUAGUAGAGGAAAGGAAAGAAGGAAACCUGAAGAGAGAGGAGGAAGGAUGAGAGGAAGUCCAGGUGUGAAACGGCAGCGAGCUGUGAGUCGGACGGCCGGGCAGCUCCGCGGGUUUAAUGGAAACAACAAAAACACAAAGUAAACAAUAAAAGAUCACAAACAUCAAAAUGUAAAAAUCCAGCUCGUAGAAAAGUCUGAGGUAUUUCCGCUGUGUUGAGGUGGUCUGUGCUUCAGGAGCUCUACUGUCGUCUCUACUGUCCUCUCUACUGACACUCUCAUUGAUCAGUGCUGAUCAUUAACCCCCCCCCCCACACACACACACACACACACUCUGUACAAACACAGAUUUGCAUGUGGUCAAUGUCACUAAAAUCAAACUAACAAUAAAAAGAAUCUACAGAAAUAUAUUCAUCAUCAUCAUCAUCAUUGUCAGGGUCAGCAGCAGCAUCGUAGACAUUCAUGUUACAUGUAUGGCAUCACAGAAGGGAAGAACAGGGGCGUUAGAAGGACACAGGCGACCUUUGACCUCUGCAGGAGCUUGUUAGGAUCAGUCUGUGGAUCUGGACAGCUGGAUGUGAGUCAGUGGGGCAUGAGACGUUCAUAAACAGAAAUCAGCUGUUUGACCUCACAAAUGAAAUCUCAGUCACAUAGUGUGCAUGUCCAGGGCUUUUAUUGUGAAAGGCAGGGACAGGAAGAAGCCCUCCUUCCACACGUGUAGAAUAAAUCAUGCAGCACUCACACGUCGGACGCUCAGUUUGAAGGCUUUAACCUGAAGGUGGCGCUGCUGAAGGUCAAAGGUCACCGGUCUUUCAGGUAACACAGGCAGGAAAUAGGUGUAAACUCAAACCUGUCACACCAUGUGACUGUUUACACACACACACACACACACGCUCACAGACACACAGACACACACACAGACACACACACACACACACACACACACACACACACACACACACACACACACACACAGGCUCACAGACACACACAGGCUCACAGACACACACACACACACACACACACACACACACACACACACACACACAGGCUCACAGACACACACAGGCUCACACACAGACA
ensembl:lncRNA